UGGGGAAUAUUGCACAAUGGGCGAAAGCCUGAUGCAGCGACGCCGCGUGCGGGAUGACGGCCUUCGGGUUGUAAACCGCUUUCGGCAGGGAAGAAGCCGCAAGGUGACGGUACCUGCAGAAGAAGCGCCGGCUAACUACGUGCCAGCAGCCGCGGUAAUACGUAGGGCGCAAGCGUUGUCCGGAAUUAUUGGGCGUAAAGAGCUCGUAGGCGGUUCGUCGCGUCUGCUGUGAAAUCCUCAGGCUCAACCUGGGGCGUGCAGUGGGUACGGGCGGACUAGAGUGCGGUAGGGGUGACUGGAAUUCCUGGUGUAGCGGUGGAAUGCGCAGAUAUCAGGAGGAACACCGAUGGCGAAGGCAGGUCACUGGGCCGCAACUGACGCUGAGGAGCGAAAGCAUGGGGAGCGAACAGGAUUAGAUACCCUGGUAGUCCAUGCCGUAAACGUUGGGCACUAGGUGUGGGUCCAUUCCACGGAUUCCGUGCCGCAGCAAAGCGCAUUAAGUGCCCCGCCUGGGGAGUACGGCCGCAAGGCUAAAACUCAAAGGAAUUGACGGGGUCAUAGCUGUUUCCU
rnacentral:rRNA from 1 species